rnacentral:misc_RNA from 1 species
UACGAAGGGGGCUAGCGUUGUUCGGAAUUACUGGGCGUAAAGCGCAUGCAGGCGGAUCGUUAAGUCGGGGGUGAAAGCCCGAGGCUCAACCUCGGAAUUGCCUUCGAUACUGGCGAUCUGGAGUCCGGGAGAGGUGAGUGGAACUCCGAGUGUAGAGGUGAAAUUCGUAGAUAUUCGGAAGAACACCAGUGGCGAAGGCGGCUCACUGGCCCGGUACUGACGCUGAGAUGCGAAAGCGUGGGGAGCAAACAGG